rnacentral:rRNA from 1 species
CUUAACACAUGCAAGUCGAACGCCCCGCAAGGGGAGUGGCAGACGGGUGAGUAACGCGUGGGAACAUGCCCUUUGGUUCGGAAUAACUCAGGGAAACUUGAGCUAAUACCGGAUAAGCCCCGUAAGGGGGAAAGAUUUAUCGCCGAAGGAUUGGCCCGCGUCCGAUUAGCUAGUUGGUGAGGUAAUGGCUCACCAAGGCGACGAUCGGUAGCUGGUCUGAGAGGAUGAUCAGCCACACUGGGACUGAGACACGGCCCAGACUCCUACGGGAGGCAGCAGUGGGGAAUAUUGGACAAUGGGGGCAACCCUGAUCCAGCCAUGCCGCGUGAGUGAUGAAGGCCCUAGGGUUGUAAAGCUCUUUCGACGGGGACGAUAAUGACGGUACCCGUAGAAGAAGCCCCGGCUAACUUCGUGCCAGCAGCCGCGGUAAUACGAAGGGGGCUAGCGUUGCUCGGAAUCACUGGGCGUAAAGCGCACGUAGGCGGAUCUUUAAGUCAGGGGUGAAAUCCCAAGGCUCAACCUUGGAACUGCCUUUGAUACUGGGGAUCUCGAGUCCGGAAGAGGUGAGUGGAACUGCGAGUGUAGAGGUGAAAUUCGUAGAUAUU